CGUAUGCAACCUACCCCAUACUGGGGGAUAGCCCGGAGAAAUCCGGAUUAAUACCCCAUAAUAUUAUUACCUUGCAUGAGGUAAUAAUUAAAGCUGAGGCGGUAUGGGAUGGGCAUGCGUCCGAUUAGGUAGUUGGUAGGGUAACGGCCUACCAAGCCGACGAUCGGUAGGGGAACUGAGAGGUUGAUCCCCCACACUGGUACUGAGACACGGACCAGACUCCUACGGGAGGCAGCAGUGAGGAAUAUUGGGCAAUGGCCGCAAGGCUGACCCAGCCAUGCCGCGUGCAGGAAGAAGGCCCUAUGGGUUGUAAACUGCUUUUCUCAGGGGGUAACCCCAGGCUCGUGAGCCUGGCUGAAAGUACCUGAGGAAUAAGCAUCGGCUAACUCCGUGCCAGCAGCCGCGGUAAUACGGAGGAUGCGAGCGUUAUCCGGAUUCAUUGGGUUUAAAGGGUCCGUAGGCGGUUUGUUAAGUCAGGGGUGAAAUCCUUCAGCUCAACUGAAGAAUUGCCUUUGAUACUGGCAGGCUAGAGUGCGACAGAGGUGGAUGGAAUGUGUCAAGUAGCGGUGAAAUGCAUAGAUAUGACACAGAACACCGAUUGCGAAGGCAGUUCACUGGGUCGCAACUGACGCUGAUGGACGAAAGCGUGGGGAGCAAACAGGAUUAGAUACCCUGGUAGUCCACGCUGUAAACGAUGAUUACUCGCUGUUGGGCAGUGAUUGUUCAGCG
rnacentral:rRNA from 1 species